rnacentral:rRNA from 1 species
AUGGUGUUGCUUUUGGAGUGGCCAUUAUCUUCCCAUCGGGAGUUUCUUGUUGGGGCUAUAAUUAUAAGUAUCUCUGUUACUUGCACGACAAAAACGAGCUCGACAGGAGGUAUCAUAUUCAGAUUUUCGUGGCGGAUGCAAUUGUGGUUCCGUCUGGUUAUAGACAAUUCCGAGGGAUGGAAAUGUCUAGCAAUGGCUGUUGUGUUUACCUCUACGAGUGAGAAUGCAGAAAUCCAGAGCAUUAUGGUACAUCUAGAAAAAUCAAUGCACUGGCAGUUCAGGGGGAAAGAAGAACAAGAGAGCAAUGGAACCUGUACGGGUGACAACAAGAUAAGUGAGCGCCAGGAAGCGAUCAUCACAAUGUUAUUCGCUAGUAUAAACUACUCCAGCAUGCUACAACACUCAGCCAUGGGAGUCUUGAAAAAUGAGUUGUGGUGCUUCUGUCAUCCAUGUCACAACAGUCCAGCAGCAUUACUUGGACUACAGAAGUUGACAAACCUACAACUGAGUAUGGAGAAGGCAAUAGCCAGUGGCGAACUACAUCAGUGGGUGGCCCUCAUUUUCUUGCGUGGAGCAUGGGAGCUUGAUCACAUACAUGACAAGUCGAUGGAGCUACUAGGUUUCCUGUCGACAUUCUCUUGUCAGUCAUUGAAGUCAAUGGGGAGCGGUGCAAUUUGGGUGUUGGGCACACUCGAGGAUCCUGGGAGCUUCAUGGCUGUCGAGGGAGGCUUUUUGAUUUCAGCUUCCAAUCAAGAACAUUUUGAAGGAAGGAAAGGCAUCAUCGUCGUCACUGUGGUCUUCGUGCAGGUCUAUGCCGACCAUGAAUACUACCUCGGUUUCGACUACUAUGGUACUGACAAUGGCUACGUCCUCAACAUAUUCUUUGGCUGGGUUCCCUUCGACCACAACAAUUACUUCUCCCUCGUUGAAGUCUACCCCGACUCUGGCCAAGGCCAAGAACAUCAAGUGCAAUGGGAUCCGGGUGGUUCUCGGUGGCGCCGGCUUGGGGUCAAACCGCAUUUCAAGGAGGGGGGAUGUCAGGGACCUUCGUACCCCAUACAUAUACUGGGCUGGCCCUUGGAUAUCACAUGGGCCGGGCCUGCCUGUGCAUUACCGACUGCUACGGGCUACAAGUACUGGGAGAGGAAGCAACGAAGAAUCUGUCCAGUGGAUCAACGAACCGGCGGCGGCGGCUACCUCUUUCCCCUUCCUCCUCCUUCCCCCAAUUCUUGUAUCCAGGCUUGUAAUCUCUAA